AGCGAGCCCGGCUCUGCUCCUGCCCUGCCAGAGGGGCCCGGACAGCAGCAGGAGGAGCUCCGGGCUCCCUCCAUGCAUUCCUGCUGUGGCAGACGGCCACGGGCUGUCCUGGCCGCCUUGGAAACAAUGGAGAGGAAGGCUUUGAUUCCAGCAGCGAUGGACACCCUCCCGCUCCAGGGUGGUGCCGAUGGAAGGAACUGGGGGCUCGGUUAUUUGCUUUUAUCCUUUGUUAACCGCUGCUAGCUUCUUGUUGUGGGAACUGCUGUGACUCCUCUGGAGGUUUUAUUUAUGCUUUUUGCCUGACGUGGUUCGCAGGAGGCCUUUGAUAUUCUGCCCCGGGAGUGUCCCCUGGCCUGGGAACGGGAAGAGCUGAGCCGGGCUCAUCCAGCCGGGGCCGGGGCUGCUGUCCCGCUGCCCUGGCACUGCCAUCGCCCGGGGGCACAGGGCAUCACCCUUUGGGGGCUCUGCCCAGCCUGCCGGGUUGCAUUACUCUUAGUUUUUCAGAGGAAAUAGAGCAAAAUAUUUAUUAUCAGUCAAAAUAGAAUAUUUUAUUCUCUUAUCAGUCUCGGUGAAUGGUAAGACAAAAGAGAUUAAAACCUAACGCUAUUCUAUCAGAACGAACCUGUCUCUUGGUCAUAACACCUUAUAAAUGUGUUUUUGCCUAUUAACUUUUGCUAGACCAUGUAGCGAAAUUUGCUACACAGUGUAGCAAAAUAGUGUAAACUGUCUAUCGGGUUUUAAGUAUUCUUUACCAAUGUAUCCCCCUCGGUGAUUUGUGCCCAGCCGUGCCCUCCUGUGCCGCAGCAAUGUCCCUCGCCAGCAGCAAAGGUGCCCGAGAGCAGCUGGUGGUGCUGCAGCGCCGGCAGGGGGAGAAGAUGCGACUGGGCACUCCUGGGAAUUUGUGGAGUUUUUCUUGGGAGAGAAGAACUAGGAGGAUACAGAGCUUUUUGUGCUGGGUUCAUGCUUCAGGUUCAUGCUGGGAGAGGUGGGAAUACCCAGCGUGUGGUCCAGGAGAGCUUUCCCCGGGCCCCCUCCCACAGGGCUGCCCUGAAUCCGGGCUGCCAGGGAUGAUUCCCCAGCUCCCGAGGGCUUGGCUUGCCCCUGUGCUGUAAAACUGCCACACCCGUGCCUUUUACCACAGCUCCUGGUCGCAGGAGGCUGUUUCUGCCCCUUGCUGCCCAGAUCCAUUAGUUCGGGUACUGGGUGAGAACAGCUUUUAUAAUGAUGCAAAAAUGGAGGGAAUAACUCAUAUCUAAACUCCCCGUGAGCCCAGUCUCUUGGAUACAUGCUAGGAAUCUUAGUUAAUAUUGUUUUUCACCACACAACAGAAUCCCCAGGCAGCAGAGAUGACAAUUCCCAGGAACCAUAAAUGCCUUGAGUGUGUUUACCCAACUCAAAAUGCACUUUAUAACAUUAUAUCACCUUCAACCCACUCUGCAAUUUUACAUGCUGGGAUUUGAAAGAGGUACAAGCACUGGUUGUACUCUGUGUCUUAUUGAGAGCUUGGAAAUGUGUAUUUAAUUAUGAAUUUAGGAGCUGUGCAUGGGAGUUUUACAAGCAGUGUCACUUCAGCCACAGGAGCCAGCAGCAACCAACAAUUGAUUUUAUCAGGCGGCUGUUUGAGCAGCUCCAGCUCCUGAAUUGAAGGAAGUGUUUUCCUGAAAUGCAGACAGAAAUGCUCCUGGGUUUUCUGGCUCAGGAAAUUAGUCCUCAAAUCUGAGGCUGACUUUGGAGCCACAGACAGCAGCAGUCCCCAUCAGGCUGGUAGGAACCCAGUGAGCCCAGCCCUGCCAGAAGUGACAGAUUCCACUUCUCCUGCUUUGCAGACUUCUUGUCCUUGACAUAUUUUUGUUUCAUGGACUUUGUCAGAAGAUGCCCAACCAAGCUGCCCCUUCCUUUCAAAAGAAGGCACUAUGGCUUAAAUCUAAGCAAAAAACACCCUGGUAUUUUAUAUUACUAUAAAUAUAUAUAUUAUUUCAGAUCUUCCUGGAAAUUAAAACAAAAGUAAGUUUCUUUUUAAAGUGUUUUGCACCUUCAUGUUUGUGCUUGAAAAUAAAAAGGUUGUACCUCUC